UCCUCGUUUAGACGAGGCAGUCUGUCCAGAGUGCUUCCCGCUCUCGCGGGAGUGGCAACAGGACACAAGGGUUGCGCUCGUUGCGGGACUUAACCCAACAUCUCACGACACGAGCUGACGACAGCCAUGCAGCACCUGUCUCUUGGUUCUCUUGCGAGCACCCCCGCAUCUCUGCAGGGUUCCGAAGAUGUCAAGACCAGGUAAGGUUCUUCGCGUUGCAUCGAAUUAAACCACACGCUCCACCGCUUGUGCGGGUCCCCGUCAAUUCCUUUGAGUUUUAGCCUUGCGGCCGUAGUCCCCAGGCGGCGGACUUAAUGCGUUAGCUGCGGCGCCGAGGGGGUCGAUACCCCCGACACCUAGUCCGCAUCGUUUACGGCGUGGACUAC
rnacentral:misc_RNA from 1 species